AAUGGCUCUUAUGUGCUAUCUACAUGAUAUAUCUUUUCUUAAAUGAUCCUAACAACUCUAGAAAAUAAGUAGUACUAACUUCAUAUUAAGUAUGACUUAAACAAGUCAUGCACUUUGCAAAUGAUAUGGCAGAUUUCUGCUUGACCACACAGUGAAUGCUUUGUCCAAACCACCUAUUUUGCUUUGAACUAUUCUAUUUUGGCCUGGGAAGGGGAAUUACUGCUGAUGUGAUUGGUUAAUGGUUAGUCCUAUUACACCAGGCUUGUAUCCAUUGCUACCUUUUUGUAUGUCUCUGAAUUAUCAAACGAACAGGAGCCUCCUGACUGAGACUAUGUACUAUUAAUGGAUCAUAUGUAUCCAGAUAUAUUUACAGAUAGAAUACAUUUCAGAAACAUAAAGGACAAUAAAAAAUGGCAGAAUUUACAAUCUUAACAACAUGGUUGCAGAAGCAGAACGGGAAAGUCAUGUAGGCAGUCAAGGUAAUACGCACAAUGUAAACAUGUCAUCUAGGACAUGAAGAAAACCUUUUGGGCCAAGUAGUACAGCAUGUUUAGUUAGAUCUAAACAAAUGUGCAUGACUAUAACCCCAAAUCUGUAAUUUCAUUUCUUUCCUUUUCCACAAUUAUCCAAUCUUCAGUUUUACCAGUAGUAUCAGAGACAUUUUCUGCUCUUAAACUCUAGCUAUCUGUGACACUUCCUUCUGGAAAGUGUCCAAAGCUUGAACCCUCCCUAGUUUCUCACACAUCUGUGCAUUAUUAGCCUGUUUCUGGUCAAAUCGUGUGGCAGAUGAACAACAGCCACAAAUUCUUUGACAUUCUUCCUAUAGGGAGGUAGGGCCUAUUUGCUAUCUCCUUGAAUCUGGGCUGCCAUUAAUCUCUUUCCACUAAUGGAGUGCAGUGUUAGGGAUUAUGACAGUUGUAGACCUUGUUUCUAUGAGAUUGACAGCUUCUACUUCAGUCUCCUAAAGCCCCCAGGGACAAAACAAGAAGUCAGAUCACACUGCUGGAGAGACCACAUGGAGAAUAUUGAGAAUAUGUGGAGAGAGACAGAAGAAUCUAGCUGAGCCCAGCCUUCCAAUUGUCCACAGCAAGACAUAAUGAAUGGAAGUAAAACCACCUUGGAUCAGGUGAAAACUACAUCUAGCUAAUCAGCUGACCAUGAGAUGCAGAGAUUAUCUGGAAUUAUCCAGAUUGGUCCAUUUAAUUACAUGAGUCCUUAAAAGUGGAAAGUGGAAGAAGAGGCAGAAGAGUGUGUCAGAGAGAUGCUGUGUGAAAAGGACUCAACCUGCCACUUGAGGCUUUGAGGCUGGAGAAAGGGGCCAUGAACCAAGGAUUGUGAGCAGCCUGUAAAAUCUGGAAAAGACAAGGCAAUACCCUUUGCUGUCUCAGGGUCAAACAUGCAACUCCUGCCUGCUUGUAUGGCCAGCUGGGUUCAAGAAGGAAGGAACCUCAUUGUUGACAGUUACCAGAUGAAUGUGCCCCUUCUGUACAGCUAAGAAAUGGAAUAGACAUUGGUAACCUUCCACAGGCCCACACAUGUGUUAUCAGCCAUACCUUAGGACAGAAGGAAUGAGUUUGCAGAAAGGAUGCUCUUCAGAACUCAUGAAGACAUAAGGUGCUUCAAAAGAGGAGACUUUCGGAACAUGAGCAGGGAAAUUGUCACUUGAUAGAUGACAAGCAUUGUGAGAAACAACAGUUUGCCUUUCUUCAUUCCCUUCCUGGUUAUCUUUCCUGUCACAUGAAGAAGAAAUGAAACACCAGAGAGAAUCAGGUUAUCAUCAUCUACACCAGCCACUGUCACUGGCCUUCAAAGUUCAACCUCCCUGGAACUCCAGAACUCCCCACUUUAUAAGAUGAAUGGCUAAUUGGAUCCUAGUACAUAAGGAAACACUGGCAAAAUAGCGGUAUAUAACAAAUGUUUCUUUUUAUGAUAGAUCUACAUCUGAAACAACGGUGAAAAAGCAUGCAUUAAAUUAAAAAGCAUAGUCUUCCAUUUGUAAGUAAUUUUGUUAUGUGCUGCUUAUGGGAGAUUGUUUAGUUAAAGCUAUAUUACUGCAAAAGAGAGGCAAACAGAGACAGCACAGCACAUUAGUAAAACACUAAAGCUUUUAAUUUCCUCAUUCAUUCAUUAAAGAAAUAUUUUCUUAGAGAUUAUGUUUGGCAAUAUGACACAUUUUUGUAGAAAAAUGCAAUGAGACAAUAAUAAAAGUUGUCUUAUAGAAACAACUUCUGCGAUUAAGAAACUUAUAAAAUUUAAGACACAAGGUAAG
rnacentral:lncRNA from 10 species